rnacentral:rRNA from 1 species
AAUCCAUGAGUAAAGUGGCGUACGGGUGAGUAACACGUGGGUAAUCUACCUUCUGGUGGGGAAUAACAUUGGGAAACCGAUGCUAAUACCGCAUAACCCCGCAAGGGAAAAGGAGAAAUUCGCCGGAAGAGGAGCCCGCGGCUGAUUAGCUAGUUGGUAGGGUAAUGGCCUACCAAGGCAAUGAUCGGUAGCCGGCCUGAGAGGGCACACGGCCACACUGGCACUGAAACACGGGCCAG